UGCAAAGGCCUUCUCCUCGGAUAUUUGAUUAUUCAUUGCGGUACUCUGAGGCACUUAGAUACUCACCGUGUUCCUCAAAGUAUUCAAUCAAUCUUUUUAAGAACGCAUCACUAACCACUGUGUCAGUGUCACAGACAAGGCAACACUGUCUUCUUGCCCGUGUCACAGCUACAUUCAUUCGUCUGUGAUCACUCAAAAACCCCACCUCUUUCUUUGAGUUUGAUCGAACCAUAGAAAUAAUAAUGGCUUCCUUCUCUCGGCCUUGGAAACCAUCAACUGUUGAGAUUUCCAUAUCCUUUAGCUUAUCUUCAUUGCUCUUCAAUAUCUUCAGCAAGACAACCUGAGCUGCAUAAGGGGUAAUUAUUCCAAUAUCAGAAGCCUGAACACCACUCUCAACAAGUCUCUUUGCAUGGGCCACAGCAACUUCAGCUUCUCCUUCAUUCAAUGUGCUAUCUUCUUCAUCUUUCUUUUCCUCCAUGUCACAUCCAGCAAUGUCUAUGAGAAGAAGGGUCUGUUCUGUGGAUGAAGACCUCUUUACACGUUCAAGAUCAAGAAGCUUAUGUGCAGCAACACUAGCAUGGGCCUUGAUCUUACUAUCAUACAGCUCCUUAGAUGACCAGUUCAUAAUAAGUUCAUGCAUUCGGUACUGGACAGUGAGCAUAGAAGUAACUUCAUCACCAUACAAGUCUGCAAGGCGUUCAAAGAGAGUUCUUCCUAAGCCUUUCUUCUCAGCUUCAACACUUUGGAUGGUUGGAGGAAGCUGAAGAUGGUCUCCUGCAAGAAUACACCUUGAACCCUUUAAUAAAGCAAUCCAGCAAGCUAUUUCAAGCGCCUGAGCAGCUUCAUCAAUAAUGACCAAAUCAAAUGAAGUACUGUCCAGCUUGUGAGAUAAUGCACCAGUCAAGGUUGUCAACACCACAUCAGCAUUUUUAAUUACAUCUGACACAGCUAGUUGCUGUCUUUUGCGUUCUUCUUUUGAAAGAGACCGGAGCUCCCUUUGGAUGUCUCUUCUAGUGCUUUUGUCCUUGGUUUUUAACAACUUUCCAUUUAGUGCCUUCAUCUCCUUCCUGAUGUCUUUUGCAAGAGCACUAUUGUCCCCCUUUAGUACCUGUGCAUCAAGCGCACUGUCCAACACUUGAGGUAGCAAGCGUGCAGGAUGCCCCAAUCUCACCAACUUUAUUCUGUGGCGAACAAGCCGCUCAACAAUGUUGUCCACAGCAAUAUUUGAAGCAGCACAAGCAAGGAUCUUUGAUCCACGUUUCACUUCUUGCAAUAUGAUUUCCACCACGGUUGUAGUUUUUCCAGUUCCAGGUGGCCCAUGCAGCAAAAAUACAUUCUUUGAUGACAAGGCCUUUGAAAUUGCUUCUUUCUGAGAAUGAUCAAGAUUGGAGUUAAAUGGCGUGAAUGUAACACCCUUCUUUGCUACUGUUGGCGGUCUCUCUCCAAAUAGGACAGGAAUUAAAUCAGCAGCAGGGCCCUUCUGCACACCUUUGCUCAAUUGAAUUAAUGCUUCCUUCAUCCUACGAUAUGUCACCUCAUUUGCCACUUUCUCCAAACGUAGGGGACUAUUUAAACCCUCUUCUGGUAUAUCAUCAAAAGCAACAGUAAUAGAGGAAUCCUUUAGGCGGUAAACCACACCUUGCCCAAGAGCAGGAGAUCCGACAUCAGCUUUGUUUGGUUUCAAAACCACCACAUCAUGAGGGCUGAACUUGUGAGCAGGAAGAACGUCCCCCUUAUUAGAUUGGAACUCAAGAAGAGUUUUCCCCAUAAGCCCUGUCUGAGCAUCAACACACUUCAAAUUGAGAAUUGUAGAACCCCUCUUUUGAGCACUAUCCAAGUUUCUAGACGCCCCUGAACUGAUAGAAGCUGAUAUCUCAGCUUCCUUUUCCAAAUCAAUUAAAGGAGCCAUAAUAGAGACGAAUUCUUGGAGUGAGAGAGCUGAAGCCUUCUUCUUUGUCUUAUCCCUCUCCGUCGCCAUUGCAAUGCGCUACCAAUGCUAUGCUGUCUUGUCUCGUAACCCUAUGAAGAAUGAGAGAUCGAAAGUGUAGAGUGUCGCCGCGGACGAUAGCUACUGCUCGUUUGCAACUGCAACUGAUGAAAACCAAUUUGACCUGCGCUUCUCUAUGGAGAUUCUAAAGCUCAUCGUUUGUUGUUCGUGGUGGCUGCAAUUUUCACUU
rnacentral:misc_RNA from 1 species